rnacentral:rRNA from 1 species
UUAAGUUAGAAAGGGCGCACGGUGGAUGCCUUGACACUAGGAGUCGAUGAAGGACGGGACUAACGCCGAUAUGCUUCGGGGAGCUGUAAGUAAGCUUUGAUCCGAAGAUUUCCGAAUGGGGAAACCCACCAUACGUAAUGGUAUGGUAUCCUUAUCUGAAUACAUAGGGUAAGGAAGACAGACCCAGGGAACUGAAACAUCUAAGUACCUGGAGGAAGAGAAAGCAAAUGCGAUUUCCUGAGUAGCGGCGAGCGAAACGGAACAUAGCCCAAACCAAGAGGCUUGCCUCUUGGGGUUGUAGGACAUUCUAUACGGAGUUACAAAGGAACGAGGUAGACGAAGCGACCUGGAAAGGUCCGUCGUAGAGGGUAACAACCCCGUAGUCGAAACUUCGUUCUCUCUUGAAUGUAUCCUGAGUACGGCGGAACACGUGAAAUUCCGUCGGAAUCUGGGAGGACCAUCUCCCAAGGCUAAAUACUCCCUAGUGAUCGAUAGUGAACCAGUACCGUGAGGGAAAGGUGAAAAGCACCCCGGAAGGGGAGUGAAAGAGAUCCUGAAACCGUGUGCCUACAAAUAGUCAGAGCCCGUUAAUGGGUGAUGGUGUGCCUUUUGUAGAAUGAACCGGCGAGUUACGAUCCCGUGCGAGGUUAAGCUGAAGAGGCGGAGCCGCAGCGAAAGCGAGUCUGAAUAGGGCGUUUAGUACGUGGUCGUAGACCCGAAACCAGGUGAUCUACCCAUGUCCAGGGUGAAGUUCAGGUAACACUGAAUGGAGGCCCGAACCCACGCACGUUGAAAAGUGCGGGGAUGAGGUGUGGGUAGCGGAGAAAUUCCAAUCGAACCUGGAGAUAGCUGGUUCUCCCCGAAAUAGCUUUAGGGCUAGCCUUAAGUGUAAGAGUCUUGGAGGUAGAGCACUGAUUGGACUAGGGGUCCUCAUCGGAUUACCGAAUUCAGUCAAACUCCGAAUGCCAAUGACUUAUCCUUAGGAGUCAGACUGCGAGUGAUAAGAUCCGUAGUCAAAAGGGAAACAGCCCAGACCGCCAGCUAAGGUCCCAAAGUGUGUAUUAAGUGGAAAAGGAUGUGGAGUUGCUUAGACAACUAGGAUGUUGGCUUAGAAGCAGCCACCAUUUAAAGAGUGCGUAAUAGCUCACUAGUCGAGUGACUCUGCGCCGAAAAUGUACCGGGGCUAAAUACACCACCGAAGCUGCGGAUUGAUACCAAUGGUAUCAGUGGUAGGGGAGCGUUCUAAGGACAGUGAAGUCAGACCGGAAGGACUGGUGGAGUGCUUAGAAGUGAGAAUGCCGGUAUGAGUAGCGAAAGACGGGUGAGAAUCCCGUCCACCGAAUGCCUAAGGUUUCCUGAGGAAGGCUCGUCCGCUCAGGGUUAGUCAGGACCUAAGCCGAGGCCGACAGGCGUAGGCGAUGGACAACAGGUUGAUAUUCCUGUACCACCUCUUUAUCGUUUGAGCAAUGGAGGGACGCAGAAGGAUAGAAGAAGCGUGCGAUUGGUUGUGCACGUCCAAGCAGUUAGGCUGAUAAGUAGGCAAAUCCGCUUAUCGUGAAGGCUGAGCUGUGAUGGGGAAGCUCCUUAUGGAGCGAAGUCUUUGAUUCCCCGCUGCCAAGAAAAGCUUCUAGCGAGAUAAAAGGUGCCUGUACCGCAAACCGACACAGGUAGGCGAGGAGAGAAUCCUAAGGUGUGCGAGAGAACUCUGGUUAAGGAACUCGGCAAAAUGACCCCGUAACUUCGGGAGAAGGGGUGCUUUCUUAACGGAAAGCCGCAGUGAAUAGGCCCAAGCGACUGUUUAGCAAAAACACAGCUCUCUGCGAAGCCGUAAGGCGAAGUAUAGGGGGUGACACCUGCCCGGUGCUGGAAGGUUAAGGAGAGGGGUUAGCGUAAGCGAAGCUCUGAACUGAAGCCCCAGUAAACGGCGGCCGUAACUAUAACGGUCCUAAGGUAGCGAAAUUCCUUGUCGGGUAAGUUCCGACCCGCACGAAAGGUGUAACGAUUUGGGCACUGUCUCAACCAGAGACUCGGUGAAAUUAUAGUACCUGUGAAGAUGCAGGUUACCCGCGACAGGACGGAAAGACCCCGUGGAGCUUUACUGUAGCCUGAUAUUGAAUUUUGGUACAGUUUGUACAGGAUAGGCGGGAGCCUUUGAAACCGGAGCGCUAGCUUCGGUGGAGGCGCUGGUGGGAUACCGCCCUGACUGUAUUGAAAUUCUAACCUACGGGUCUUAUCGACCCGGGAGACAGUGUCAGGUGGGCAGUUUGACUGGGGCGGUCGCCUCCUAAAGUGUAACGGAGGCGCCCAAAGGUUCCCUCAGAAUGGUUGGAAAUCAUUCGUAGAGUGCAAAGGCAUAAGGGAGCUUGACUGCGAGACCUACAAGUCGAGCAGGGACGAAAGUCGGGCUUAGUGAUCCGGUGGUUCCGCAUGGAAGGGCCAUCGCUCAACGGAUAAAAGCUACCCCGGGGAUAACAGGCUUAUCUCCCCCAAGAGUCCACAUCGACGGGGAGGUUUGGCACCUCGAUGUCGGCUCAUCGCAUCCUGGGGCUGUAGUCGGUCCCAAGGGUUGGGCUGUUCGCCCAUUAAAGCGGUACGCGAGCUGGGUUCAGAACGUCGUGAGACAGUUCGGUCCCUAUCCGUCGUGGGCGUAGGAAAUUUGAGAGGAGCUGUCCUUAGUACGAGAGGACCGGGAUGGACGCACCGCUGGUGUACCAGUUGUUCUGCCAAGGGCAUAGCUGGGUAGCUAUGUGCGGAAGGGAUAAGUGCUGAAAGCAUCUAAGCAUGAAGCCCCCCUCAAGAUGAGAUUUCCCAUAGCGUAAGCUAGUAAGAUCCCUGAAAGAUGAUCAGGUUGAUAGGUUCGAGGUGGAAGCAUGGUGACAUGUGGAGCUGACGAAUACUAAUAGAUCGAGGACUUAACCA